CAGAGAAUAUUGAAGAACCCUGGAAAGUGAGAUUCACGGAUACUCUUGGACGAGUGAUUUCACAUAUGAGUUAGAAGCUUAUGACAACCUGAACAGACUCACAUCGAACAAGCUUGGAGCUGUUGUUGUAGGAAUUGACUACAGGCUUACUCCUCAGUAUCAGUUCCCAGCUGCCCUUUCUCCAGGAUAAAAUUCUUGCAAAAUACAGAGUGGAUCCUUCUCGCAUAUGCAUUAUGGGAGACAGUUCUGGGGGUUCCUUGGCAGCAACAGUGACUCAGCUGGUA
rnacentral:lncRNA from 1 species